UACACAUCCAGGCCGAGGACUUGGUAACGACAGCCGGCGAGCACACGCUCUAUGGAUCCUUGAACGGGUGAGACUGAACAGCCGGUGAAUCGGUGCUGCAAGACACUCUAGACUCUAGACACCUAAAGCACUCUACACGCCGCCUACGAACGCAACCAAAUGACGUUUCGCUGCGAUACGCUGACGAAGCGUCGGUAUUCCUUCUCUUCUCCUCGACAAAUUGAUGGUUCGAUCCAUUAUACGUUUCAGUUUCAGUGUAUGGUACCACGAACUGUUAGCGAUUGUAUUGUCGUAACAGAGUAACGAAAUUGUAAAGUCCGUCGGUAAUCGGAGUAUUUGUGUUUCAGUCGUUGGAACAAAAGAAUUAAAAAAAGAAAAAGAAUUAAAACGCACGAGGACAUAAAAUCGGAACUUUAUGAAAGAAAUGUUUAAUACAGAUUGUCAAUGUAAUAAUUAUAGGUCUAAUUGAUACAGGCAUAUAUGAUAGAGAAAAUGAUCCUAGAUUUUGAACAAAAUCCUAAGUGUCUGUCGCUUGAUUAAUUAGUUCGAGAUACGCGUACGACGUACGAAUUAAACAAGUUUAAAAAUCUUUGCUCGCUCCUCUAUGAUUUAUAUCGAAUUGUUAAAUAUUCGAAAACAUUUGUAUUUUCAGAAGGAAGAAUGCCUGGAUAAGGGAGAAAUAAUUUGACAUCUCUGCAAACAUACUUAGCAAAGCAAACUCUGAGGGAGCUUAAACGAAUCCCUAACUCGAAUCUAGCAUACGUGACACUGCCCUAACGAUCGCGACAACAUCGAUCUUAUUCCCGAAUAUAUCUGGCUUUGCAUACGAUUAUUCUUGCAAGCAUUCUGCACAUACUCGCGAAAACGUCUCAUUUCUGCAACUAACGUUGCUUCGUAGUUUGAUGCGAGUGCAUCGAAGUUGGGCGCGAUAUUGCAAGCGUUACAGAGAUUGCUUUCCUUCUGCAUUGCGCACUUGUGCAUUUCUGUGUGCACUCUAGCAGUUCUGCUACAUUAAAAGAUCAGAACGUUGCCACGCCUGCACGAAAUUCUGAUCCAUUCUUCAAACAACCGACUCAAAUAUCAAGUACAUUCCUCUUCCAAUAUCAGUGACUCCAUUUAUCUCCUCCUAGGAUCGUACAAUUUUUCAAACGAUAAAGAAACUAGGAGAUUUCGUUCAUUCGCUUGCUCGAUUCGUGGAAGUUGAAUUGCAUCUAUAUUUGAAUUAUUCUAACCUCGCGAAGAAAAAUAGCCUGGGGUUAUUUUGCAAGAAGGUUCCAUUCUCGCCCUACCAAGUUGAUUAUUCUCGACGAUGCUUUUAUAAGAGAAAGCAAGAUAAGAAAGUGAAAAUAUAUUCUCUUUUAAAAAUUUUAUAAAGUCAGAAACGUGUUCCGUAUAUUUCAUACGUUUAUAUGUUCUUUGAGUUUGAUGCAGAUAAUUAAACCAUCGAUCAAAGACAAAAUGUGCAAAAAUAAGAAUCUGUAGAAAGUCGUAAGUUAAUGGAUAUGUAGAAAUAAUAUUACGAAUUAUUCCAUUGAAUAUAAUUCGACGAUGUAAUUCCUCGAUCGAGGAUAAAUGUCCAAAAAUGACAAAAUCCCUUAAUCUCUUAAUUCUAUGCCGCGGCAAAUAUUCUUCAACCAGUUUGAUAAGACGGUGAACACAAAGCGGUUGGACCCUUGAAUUACGACCGAAUCAAUGGAACAGCCGCAAGGGAAGCGGAGUGUGAACAGCGGCAAUGUUCCAUCGUACGUAUCCAAAUAUUGGCCCAUUACAUGAUCAUAAUGCUUCCUCACCUCGUGUAUUAAACUCUCGUUCCGGGCUCCGUAGAGUUUGCCCAGGGAUGAAUAAGGUAGACCUGUGUGUACAUGCCGCUCGUUCUGAUCUAGGCCACGUUUCCUUUUGUGUCCUGUUAUCGGCUCUUGCACCUCGCACAAUGCUUUCCCGCGAACACAUUGUGCAUGCAGUUCAACUUCUCUUGGACAGAGCCCUCUGUUACUCGCGCUGUAUUCGUUUUCUUGCAACAAAACGACCACUAACUCCCCGAGAGAAAGAGAGAGAGAGAGAGAGAAUCGCUGUUUCUCUAGUGAAAAUCACACAAGUUCCUGAUACCAGCGUUUCGCGACAAACGCGAGUUCUCUUCCUCCAUUUACAAUAAUACGCAGCUAGAUAUCCGGUCCCUUUCAAGGUAUCUCUUCCUUUUCUUAUUCUCACCCUUCUUUACUGUUGGCAAUAUUCGUAUUUUUCAAAUACUCGUUUCUUUCUUCGCAAGAUAUUACGUACGUAUACUAUACCAGAGGAAUAUUUUUCUUAAAUUCCGUAGGAGAAAAGUUGGAAAUCUCCUUAAUAAUUCUUUGUAUCGUUGUCAAAAUAUCGUAAAACUGCUCUAAAUUUUCUUUCGUCGCGUUUAUUUUAUAUAUUUUUACAACACGCAACCGUAUUUACGUUUGUACGUAUUACGUUCGCAUAAUCUAUACGUAUCGUAUACUGGAGCGUUGACAAUAUCGAAGAUUAUGGAUCCGCGAUGAUUAAUUUCUUAGUUCGAUGAUUAACCAUUGAUACAUGGAACUACGAAUAUCAAGAUCACGGACAAAGAAAUUUCGCUGUGUUUCAAUUUUUACAAAUAUCGUUCGAAUACAUUUGCAACGUUGAACCAUCGAAAUCGAAGCGUUCAACGGUGAGUCAGUAACACGAACUAGAAUUGCCUCGGAGGACAAAUAACGCGACACGUAGUCCGGCUUGUAUUCCAAUUUAGGACGUAUUUCCUCCCGCGUCGUAUUAUUGAUUUCCGCCCUUUGUGUCGCGUGAUCAAGAAAAUUGCCGUCGCGCUACCGAGGAAGCACAUCAAUGCCGGGAAACGAGCUCGACGAAGGGGGGAUGGUGGUGCAUCUACCCCGGAACGGGUAAUGCACCAUCCGCCGCCGAUAGAGCAACUGCACGCCAGGUCUCGAGCAAACGAAUUCGCCUCCGGUUGUUCGUUUUCAUUACCUAAUGAUCGGUACGGUUCAAGUCCGUCGAAUUUUCUCUUUUCGAGUUCAUUGGGAAUUGAAUAGACCGCUAUGGCCACAACCGGUCGAGUGUAACUAACAGGUUUUGGGUGGAAAGGUGUGGAAGAACAAUUUUCGCUGAGCGAAUUUCAUCGAAAGUAUCCUCUCUACGUAUAGUCGAUAUAGUUGGUCGGAAACAGUAGCUUUGUGGAAGUUAGAGAGCAACGCGGUUUGGUAAGAAAGAGACAGUACGCAGUAACGAACAUACAGCGGUGGGUAGAAUUUUCGAGUAAGGGGAUGAAUAGGGGUGCCUUGACCACGAUAUAAUGUAUCAAAGGGAGAUAUGAUAUAGCAGUAUGAUGGUGCAAAAUAUUUGUUGGGAUCCCCGAUACCGAACAAAGGCAAGUCUCUCUCGAUUCGAAUACAGUUUUGCACCUGGAUGACUCGAUUCAUAGUCGAGGGUCUUUCGAACGUAAUUCGAAUUCGAGUGCCGUAUCAACUUCUAUUAACAUCGUUACUCCGCUUUUCUCAAUUCUUCUACAUAAAACGCGCUUCUAAAUAACAUAAUCGUAAUACUCGUUUAAAUACACACUCGACGAUCUCCCUCCCGUGGUUGGUUUCUGGUUGGAACAAGUGGAAAGGCCACUUUAAACGAGGCGAUCAUGCAAUUAAGCGUUUCGAUUUUCGCGAGAGGCAAACGUCAGCAGCGUCGUACGGUGGAAGCGGCAACGAGAAUAAACCGAGACGGGAGGACGGCGAGGGUUGGUUGAGAAAGAAAAAGAGAAAACACAGAGAGAGAAUACACCGUCCCGUGGGAUCUGUUGGGUAUUGUUGAGGGGGUUGUUUGGUUCGUCGCCCGUCGUUCGAGGGCGCCACCGUUUUCCCUCUCUGGCACACCUCCCCUUUCCGUUCUCGCCCCCUUCUCCACUGCCACCUCUGUCCAUUCCUCUUGUCAGAAAGGAAGAGGGGCACCUUUCCAUGGUGGUGGGAGGGGGGGGGCAGGUUUAGCUCGGGACUGUCACUCAGUGAUGGAUGAUUCUACCCCAACGCGAUCAAUUCGCCUACCACGCGCGUGUACAUGCCUCGGGGGUGAAACUCACCCUUCGUGCUCUUUCCCUUCGCCCUGUCGCGAAUCGCGCCGCUUCCGACCGAUCUAGCGGAAAGACGAAUUUCUUCGUUGGUUACGUGCCAUCGCUGGAGGAAUGUCUUUGAAAGCCACUCCCUGCGAAAAGAGGAAUAAAACUGGGAGGAAGAAGCUCGAAGGAUACUAAAGGCGAGAGCACGGUAGACGCGGAGAACUACAAAGCACACACUGUACAGGGGAGAUAGGAUACACGGUUUGCAGGCGUAUCGACUCGGCCAGCCUGGAACCAGCCAGGAAUCAGCCAGAAACCAGCCAGAAACCAGGGAUAUUCGAUGGCUUAGCGUUGACACGAUAACACCGGUGUUGCGAAGCCAACGUCAAUGGUGACGAUUGCCGGACGAUGUCGCUGACAGCUUUAUAACGACACUGGAAAAUAAUCCGCGCUCUCCUGGAUCGACUACACCGAGCUGUUUAUUAUUCCAACCGACUCCCAGUGACAGACCUGCGAAUAAAGGCGAUCCCUGAAUACGUUUUUAGAUUACGGAUUACAUCGAAAACGAUUUGCACGUCGUUUGCAACUGCAACCAGAAUGUUUGCCGAAAAUUAGAUUAUCGCUUAAAUCGAGUUCAGUUUCCUUGAGCUCGAUUGAAAUAUCGAUAACGCGUCGGAAAAAUAAAUUGUUUAUUAUUUAUCGAUGUAAGCGUCCGGCUGUUAAGAAAUUUAAUUAUUUUGCACGGAUAACAAACCACGUGUUCCAUAUUAUAUGAGUAGCGACGAAAGUGUGUGAUUUUUAGACCACAGACAGGCAGGAUGCUUGAAAAUUUAUCGAGAGUGGCAUUGGAAAAAAGCGGCACCGAUUAACGUGAAACCUUAGACGACAGACAGUAACCGAAAACCGUGAAACACAUGUUCGAUUCUCACAGCUCCAUUUUUUCGAGGUUGAUACCGCUCGCUACCAAGUUGUAUACGCAGUCUGGUUGGAGUACACACGAUGGUUUCGAGUGUUCGUCUACAAACAAAAUCCGGUAUGACACGCCAUAAGCUAUUGAUUUCAAUGGGGGUGGAGUUUCGGAGGGGGUGUACGUACAGUCGUGAAUUAACGUUUGGUGUAUCAUCCGCGUAUCUUAUUGUAAAAUAAUCAGUGCGCCAUACCAGUGUGUUACAUUUAAAUAAAAAGGUGA